CUUGGAUACUGAAGUGUUUGGUAGAGUGGUUGUUUGCAGCAGUGACCUGGAUGUAUAAUGGCUUCAUGAUAAUGGAGUUUGGUUUGUAGCGAGAUUAUUGUUGUUUGAACCAAUCUUUAUGCAUCAAAUGAAUCUUAUGAGGCAUGUAAAUUGAAAUUCGGAGAUUUUAAAGGAGCAUCAUUGGACACAGAGUUCGCCAUGCGCGACGGGAAGGAUGAUGUCAAAAUUUUGUUUCUUUAAGGACAGGUUUUUCUUGCAGGUUUUUUCCGGGUAAAGUCAAGUCCGAUAGAUUCUCGGCCAAGAUUAUAUCUUGGGGUUUUCCAUACAUGCUUUUAUUCAGUGUCGUCUAAUAUCUGCGUGAAUUGUUCUCCUAUCAGGGAUCUUCCUGCAUAUUUUCCCAUGAUGUAACUCCCUUGAAGAAAUCCAAGGUACAAUUAUUUCAGGCUUCUACGAAAUACCUUUUAAGCAAUCACUGUCUUGAUUAUAGUUUUUCAGUUCCCGUUUUCAAUUAAA